GGUGUGGCCUUGCUGGGGAAAGUGUGUCACUGGGGGAGGGGGAGCUUUGAGAUUUUUAGAAGCCCAAGCACGACCCAUCGGUCUCACUCUUCCUGCUGCUUAUGGAUCC
rnacentral:miRNA from 1 species